CAGCACUGUUCGUGACCUGUGAGCCUGCUUGUGACUGAUGGGUUCCAUUCCAGUGCCACAUCAUGUCCCGGGACAGGCAACUGACCAGCCAUGUGGCUCUCAGUUUCAGGUCUGGGAGACACAG